GUUCAUCUAGAUAAAAUUGAAGACCAGACAUCUGAUAAAAUUGAAACGAUACAGAGAAGAUUAGCAUGGCCCCUGCGGGAUGACACGCACAAAUCGAGAAAUGGUCCAAAAAAAG
rnacentral:snRNA from 1 species